rnacentral:rRNA from 1 species
CAAGGCUUGACAUAUGCCGGAAACAUCCAGAGAUGGGUGCCCCCUUGUGGUCGGUAUACAGGUGGUGCAUGGUUGUCGUCAGCUCGUGUCGUGAGAUGUUGGGUUAAGUCCCGCAACGAGCGCAACCCUUGUUCUGUGUUGCCAGCAUGCCUUUCGGGGUGAUGGGGACUCACAGGAGACUGCCGGGGUCAACUCGGAGGAAGGUGGGGACGACGUCAAAUCAUCAUGCCCCUUAUGUCUUGGGCUGCACACGUGCUACAAUGGUCGGUACAAAGGGCUGCGAUGCCGUGAGGCGGAGCGAAUCCCAAAAAGCCGGCCUCAGUUCGGAUUGGGGUCUGCAACUCGACCCCAUGAAGUUGGAGUUGCUAGUAAUCGCAGAUCAGCAUGCUGCGGUGAAUGCGUUCCC